UACGUAGGGGGCGAGCGUUGUCCGGAUUUAUUGGGCGUAAAGAGCGUGUAGGCGGCCGAGCAGGUCCGUUGUGAAAACUGAAGGCUCAACCUUCAGAGGUCGAUGGAAACCGUUCGGCUAGAGUCCGGAAGAGGAGAGUGGAAUUCCUGGUGUAGCGGUGAAAUGCGCAGAGAUCAGGAAGAACACCCGUGGCGAAAGCGGCUCUCUGGGACGGUACUGACGAUGAGACGCGAAAGAUAGGGGAGCAAACGGG
rnacentral:rRNA from 1 species